rnacentral:lncRNA from 1 species
UUUUCUUUAUUUAGAAUGGCAUCGUUAGUGAUGCUGGUUCAUCAAAUAAUGCUUUCGAGCCUGAUGAAGAUAUUGAAGAUCCUGAAGAACUUGAUAUCCCAACCAAGGAAAUCGAGGUUCAAGUGGAUUGGAACUCUGAGCUUCCAGUCAAAGUGAAUGUUCCCAAGGUACCAAUCCAUAGCCUUGUGCUUGAUUGUGGAGCUAUAUCUUUCCUGGAUGUCGUUGGAGUGAGGUCAUUGCGGCUGGUAAGAUUCCGUUUAUUUGAACUAUAAACUUGGAGAUUUGACAAGAGUAAAAUGGGUUACCCCGUUUUGCAAAAGAGUUAAUGCAUGGGCUCUAUAAUUUUUCCAAGUGAAUACUUUUGUGAUAGAAUGCAAUAUUUUUUACUUUAUUAGAGCAGUAUAGUUUUACAUAGAAGCUGGGUUCAUUUUAACAAAAUUAUGCAUUUGAUUUACUCCAUUUCAGUCCCGAUUCCCUCUUCCUAUUUUCCUCUUUCCCUCCACUCUCUUCCUAUUUUCCUUCCUCUACUGAUCUUCCUUUCAUUCAUUCACUUAUUUUUUUUAAAAAAAAUAUUUUGUUGUUGUGGUAGUUGUUAGGCCUUUAUUUAAUUUAUUUAUUUAUAUGUGGUGCUGAGAAUCGAAUCAGUGCCUCACACAUGCCAGGCCAGCGCUCUACCACUGAGCCACAACCCCAGCCCCAUUCGCUUAUUUUUGAUUGGUGCUUUCUACAUAUGCAUAAAGGUUUAAAUUCCCUGUGAUGUACUUGCAUAUGCAAAUAAUGUGAUUCUGUUAAAUUUGUUCCACAUUUCCUCCCCUUUCCCUUCCCUCCUCCCUCCCCCUUGAUCUCCUUCUUCUAAAGAGUGUGAUAUUUAAAAGCAUAAGCUCUGGAGCCAGAGUUGAAUUCUGGCUUCAUCAUUAGCACUAGCAGUGUGACCUUGAACAAGUUGCUUGAUCUGUCUGUGUCUCUAUUUCUUCAUUGUAAUAGAGGGGUGGGUAAAGAUUGCAUCUGCUUCACAGGAGUGUUAUGAAGAUUAAAUAAGAUAAUAAAUGCAAAGAAUUUAGAAGAGUGACUGGCACAUACGUACCCCUUAGCAAUUAUGAAUAUUUAUUUUUCUUUUUUGUACAGGGAAUUGAACCCAAGGGUCUUCUACCAAUGAGCUAUAUCCUCAGACCCUUUUUUAUUUUAUAAAUAUUUUUAAUUGUAGAUGGAUACAAUACUUUAAUUUUAUUUAUUUAUAUGUGGUGCUGAGAAUCAAACCAGUGCUUUAAUACAUGCCAGGCAAGUUCUCUACCACUGAGCCACAACUCCAGACCUUUUUUUGUUUGUUUUUGAGACAGGUUCUGGCUAAGUUUCUUAGGGCCUUGCUAAAUUGCUGAGGCUGGCCUUGAACUUGUAGUCCUCCUGCAUCAGCCUCUCAAGGUGCUGGGAUUACAGGUGAAUACCAUUAUACCCAGCUAUGAACACUUAUUGUGUUUUAUUUUUCUGAGAAUGUAUAGGAAAUGGAAUAUGAAAAGAAGGGAAAAUGGGCAAAGUUUGUGUCAUUAUUAUUCUACUUUUUAUGUGAAUAGCAGCAGCAUAAGGAACACCAGGUACAUGGUAGGACUCGAAAAACCAGGCAUUAUUAAGAGGUUAGAAUAGUCAGGCAUGUAGGAAGUCAAGGCAAGAGUUGAGAAGCAUGCAGGGUGAAAACAUCCAUGAUUUCAGAAAGCAGUUAUGCAAGCUCAAGUUCACACCUUCUUUCAAGUAGAUGUUAAAUGCCUUAUACGUGCUAAGCACUCUUCUAGGCACAAGAGACUAGUGAUGAAGUAAGUAGCCAUGGUCUCUACCCUCAUGGGACUAAGCAGUCUAGAAGGGAAGGUAAACAUUAAGUAAUCUUAUAAUUUAACAACUGUAUUAAGUGUUCCGAAGAAGUCUUUAAAGAGAGCGUCACCUUUAGGUUUCAAGUUUAGGUGAAACUUCUGGUAGACCUCAAGAUCUCUGUUAUGAAUAUAUCAAUGUCAGAAUCUUGACAGUAAUUUUGUAUUGUAGUUUUAUGAAAUAUUACUAUUGGGAGAAACUGGGAAAGGGGUACAUAAAAUCUCUCUACAAUUCCUUACAACUACAUUUACAAUGAUCAUAAAACAUUUAAUCUUAAAAAGUCAAUGCACUAGACCUAUGAGCAAUAUAUUCUAUAUAAUCAUCAUUGUAUUUGAAAGCAACUAUUAAAGUAUGGGAAAUAUUCUGGCAUUAAAUAUGUUAGACUUUCUUCAAAAGUAAUUCAUUAAACCCUUGGGCCAUUACAAUCUAAAAUGGAUCUAAGCCAAUGCUUAGAGUGAAAUGAACAACAAAGAACAAGUGUGUGUUCUCCAGUGAGCUAAUAACCAGAUGUGCUAAGAGAACAGAACCUUUCAGCAUAUUCUCACACACUUUUGCCAAGCAUAAUUACUUCCCUAUCUUACCUACCUAGUACCCACACCCUGGAAUCAUUUCCUGUCCUUGCAGAUGUAGCCCCAAAGCCCCCAGCUAAGUUAAACCUCUGUUAGAAAUCUGCUUCAUAUUAUUACAUCUGAUUGUCAUGCCUUAGUCUGCUUACCUUUCUGAUGCUUACCUGUCUGAUGUUUUUACUUUUAGAUUGUCAAAGAAUUCCAAAGAAUUGAUGUGAAUGUGUACUUUGCAUCACUUCAAGGUAAAUGCAUCUAUGUGCCAAUAUAUAAGACUUUUCCCUAAGUCCUUUCUCUCCUACUUUGGAAUAUGGGCACAUAAUGUCUGAAGGUCUUUUUAAAAAAAAAAACAAAAAACUCUUUAAUAUUGUUAUAAAGAAUGUGUAAGAAAAUUUGCCAUUUUAGGCACUUUUAAGUGUAUAGUUAAUCCACUAGCAUUCGUUAUCUUCACAAUAUUUAUAAACAUCACUAUUUCCAGAAUUUUUCAUCAUCACAAACAGAAGCUCUGUACCAAUGACACAAUAAUUCUGAGAACAUUUUUUAUGUCAAAGAUAAUACCUUGAAUUUGUGUCACAGAGCUGGGAAUGUAUAGAAACUUAUGUCUGUGUCUUUGUAUGUGUGUAGGAAAGUGAUAAUGUUUAGACUGAGUUCUCUAGAAGCAGAGCCUGAGACAGGGAUUCUUGCGUUAGUAACUGAAGAAGUGAAGAAAGCAGGACAGGGCAGGAGAGGCUGGUCAUCGAAGUAGUUUCAGAAGGUUGACAUUAGACUCCUGAUUGCAUAGAGAGCUCCACAGCAGGAAGAUCACCAGAGGUUAUGCCAUCUUGAGCAAGGGGCCCGCCUUUGUAUUCUCAUUAUAGUUAAUCAUUGAUGCAGAUCCCCCUUAGAUACAGGUAUAGCCUUCAGGUCUCUUCAGGCAAAACAGCUCCUAUUGGCCAAGGAAAAUUACCCAGAGAGGAGCAGAGCUGUGAACCGUUAGCAGCCAGGCUCGCAGCAGCUGGUACACUGAUUUGGCAAAAGAUACAUGGACUAAGGCCAUCUACAAGCAGUUAUGGGAUAAUCAUUAUGUGUGCUACUGGGAAAAAAAAAUCUCAGUCAGUGUAGAAAAGGGUCACAUUCUGAAAAUGAGAAAGAAAAAAAGAAAGGAGCUACAAAACCAGUAUUGGUAGAUGUUAUAAAAAUACCUUUCCUAUCAACUACUAACCAUUAUCUCUUUCUUCUGUAGAUCAUGUGAUAGAGAAGAUGGAGCAAUGUGGCUUCUUUGAUGAUAACAUUAGAAAGGACACAUUCUUUCUGACUGUUCAUGAUGCUAUAAUCUAUAUACAGAACCAGGUUAAAUCCCAAGAUGGACAAGAUUCCAUUUUAGAAACGG